GGCAGUGUGGCAUAUUGGUUUGAGCAUUGGACUAUGACUCUGGAGACCAAGGAUCGAAUCCCUGUUUGGCCA